AGUGAACGCUGGCGGCAGGCCUAACACAUGCAAGUCGAACGGCAGCACAGGAGAGCUUGCUCUCUGGGUGGCGAGUGGCGGACGGGUGAGGAAUAUAUCGGAAUCUACCCUUUCGUGGGGGCUAACGUAGGGAAACUUACGCUAAUACCGCAUACGAACUGAGGUUGAAAGCGGCGGACCGCAAGGCGUCGCGCGGAUGGAUGGGCCGAUAUCCGAUUAGCUAGUUGGCGGGGUAAAAGCCCACCAAGGCGACGAUCGGUGGCUGGUCUGAGAGGAUGAUCAGCCACACUGGAACGGAGACACGGUCCUGACUCCUACGGGAGGCAGCAGUGGGGAAUAUUGGACAAUGGGCGCAAGCCUGAUCCAGCCAUGCCGCGUGUGUGAAGAAGGCCUUCGGGUUGUAAAGCACUUUUGUUGGGAAAGAAAAGCGGUCGGUUAAUACCCGGUCGUUCUGACGGUACCCAAAGAAUAAGCACCGGCUAACUUCGUGCCAGCAGCCGCAGUAA
rnacentral:rRNA from 1 species